UCCAACAUUUUUCAAUAUAAAUAUUAAGUAGAUGAAUGGCAUCAGAAUGCAUUGCACUCAUAGAUUUUCUUUUCAAAGAGGGUAAAAGCCAAAGCCUUCUUGGUGCGCCUCAAGAACUAGGGUUUUCUUAACUUUAAUUUGUGAGUGGAGCUCCUUGAAGUCCAAAAGAGGUUCUAACAAAGGUUAAUAGAGCUGCUAAGCUAUGGAUCUCAGAGUUCUACCCAUGAAUAAGUGUUUGUGGUAGAUUUAUGGCUUCCAUAUCUCAGGAGCUUCAUUACCAAUGGUUUGAUCCUUAUUUGGAUUGAAGGGAGCUCUUCACCUUCAUCUCCUUUU